rnacentral:rRNA from 1 species
AUUGAACGCUGGCGGCAGGCCUAACACAUGCAAGUCGAACGAGUGGCGGACGGGUGCGUAAUGGCUGGGAAACUGCCUGAUGGCGGGGGAUACCUACUGGAAACGGUAGCUAAUACCGCAUACCAUCGGAUGUGCCCAGAUGGGAUUAGCUAGUAGGUGGGGUAACGGCUCACCUCGGCGACGAUCCCUAGCGUGUCUGAGAGGAUGACCGUCCACACUGUAACUGAGACACUGUCCAUACUCCUACGGGAGGCAGAAGUGGGGAAUAUUGCACAAUGGGCGCAAGCCUGAUGCAGCCAUGCCGCGUGUAUGAAGAAGGCCUGCGGGUUGUAAAGUACUUUCAGCGGGGAGGCGUUACCCGCAGAAGAAGCACCGGCUAACUCCGUGCCAGCAGGCGCGGUAAUUC